UGGGGAAUAUUGCACAAUGGGGGAAACCCUGACGCAGCGACGCCGCGUGAGUGAGGAAGGCCUUCGGGUCGUAAAGCUCUGUCAAAGGGAAAGAAGUGCAUGGUGGCUAAUACCUGCCAUGUUUGACGGUACCCUUAAAGGAAGCACCGGCUAACUCCGUGCCAGCAGCCGCGGUAAUACGGAGGGUGCAAGCGUUGUUCGGAAUCACUGGGCGUAAAGGGCGCGUAGGCGGUUUGAUAAGUCAGAUGUGAAAGCCCACGGCUUAACUGUGGAAGUGCAUUUGAAACUGUCAGACUUGAGUAGCAGAGGGGAAAGAGGAAUUCCCGGUGUAGAGGUGAAAUUCGUAGAUAUCGGGAGGAAUACCGGUGGCGAAGGCGACUUUCUGGCUGAAUACUGACGCUGAGGCGCGAAAGCGUGGGGAGCAAACA
rnacentral:rRNA from 1 species